AAGAUAUAAGAUAGAGGGCUCCAGUGUGGAUCAAGCUGAUUGCUUUGCUAAAGUGUCAGUUCAAAGUCUACAUGAGGAAAACAUGAAGCUCCUCCAACUUGUUUCUGAAAUCAAGAAUGCAAAGAACACCGAGAUCUUGCCUAAACUUUUGGAAGACAGGACCAAAUAUGUGGAAAACCUUGUAGAGUUGGAAAGAAUACGAGAGGCGAACAAGGUGCUUGUUAAGGAGGAUAGGGAUGUAAAGGUGAAGAAGCCGGAAAUUCAGAAGACUGAUGUAGAGAGGAAGAGGCCUGCUGAGAAGAAGCUAGAACUUCAGAAAAAGGAUGGGAGAGAGAAAGCUUGUUCCCUCUAGACCUGCUUUGCGGCCUACUACUGAUGAAAUAGAACAAGCUAAAGCGGAGGCUCGCAAGAAGAUGAUUCCCUGCCCUCGCUGUUUCAGCUUGAGAACAAAAUUUCACAGCUUCUCCAAUUACAAUCUUAGUAAAGACAUAUAUGGAGGGAUUGCAAAAGGCUGUGGGUGGUAGGCGCAAGCUUGAGGAAUUAGUGUUAGCAACUCUUAAAGCCAGGAUUUGCUUGUGGAAUUAUUUAAACUGAUUUCUUACAACGAGUAGGUUUCUUGCAGUAG
rnacentral:sRNA from 1 species